rnacentral:misc_RNA from 1 species
AACGCACAUUGCACUCUCUGGUAUUCCGGAGAGUAUGCUUGUUUGAGUAUCUGUAAACAUCUCAAAUCUCUCGACUUUCGAGUCUGAGAGAAUUGGACUUGAGCAAUCCCAACUCCUUCGUGAGAAAGAGGAGGGUUGCUUGAAAUGCAGGUGCAGCUGGACAUUCUUCUGAGCUAAAAGCAUAUUUAUUUAGUCCCGUCAAACGGAUUAUUAUUCUUGCUUCAGCUUACAUAAAGGUUGAAUGACUACCAAGGCUGAUUGCAGGUAAACUCGUUCCGUAAAAAAGAACUUGUGAACUCGAUCUCAAAUCAAGUAAGACUACCCGCUGAACUUAA